UUGAAUGGUCAAUGGUCUAUGAUUUUCUUGUGCUGUCUAUUUUAUCCCUAUUUUAUUAUUAUUGGAUGAGCAUUUAUGGGUAUUUUGGUACAAUUGAGAUAGGAGGCGGAGGGGGGUUUCUGCGCAUCCUGUCGUUUUCCCUCAUUCCCUCGUCCCGGGUGUCCACCUACCGUCAACGACGUUCGUUUUACGGUCCGUCGCACCGGUCAGUGACUAAUCCCACGCCCUGUAGUGCGGCCCCACACACCACAGAGAUAUAAAUUUCAGGCGCUCAGCAGCAGACUCGAACCCGGGGUGCCAGGAUUAAGCUCACCUCGUGAAAGGAAACGCCCGAAGUCCGCUCUGCCAACUGAGCUCAGCCCUGGGGCCCUCCAUCUUUUUUCUCCAUUCUCUUUUUGCCGAUGCUCGCCUCCGUGAUACUGUUCAGCGCCAUCAAGAGCAUAAACAAUCUUUGAACCAGCUCACUUGAAUGGACUCAUACACGGAUCGAGCCGCGUGGGUACAGCGAAAUCUCCUAGGUGUUCUUAGAUUUCGGAUUCGCAGGUUCACAGAUUUCUCAAAUGUGUUUCGACAACUGGAAUGUUUUUGAAGAAUUUGCUUUUAAUAUCUGGGAUAUUUCAAUUAACCCUAGGUUUUUCUUUGGCUAUGCGUUAAUGGGGCGGUUACUGAUGGUGAUGGCAUUUUUGAGUUUUGCUUUGUCUGUGCAUAGAUGGGGUGAGUGGCGGUUGUAAUAGCAGGAGUUUUUGAGUUGGUCGGUGGAGAGGGAGUGGUUGAGGCCUGAGGGAGGUUUGCUGAGGGGUUGUCCUGAAUCGGGGUGCAGGGGCCUGAGGGAUUUGAUUCAAGUCUUGAAGGAUUUAGCUAGCUUCCAACUGUACACCUUUUCCUGAAGAACAAAUCUAUGAUGCACAAUCCUUUGAAGGGUGUGUAUCAUACACACUCUUGCAGCUGCUGGAUUUUUAAGCCAUAGAGACAGAGAGGUUGCACCCAUGGAGUCUUCAUUCUAUACCGGAGUAAAUGUCAAGAAUUGCAAUGUAAUAACAACUCUCCGUAGUGGUAAGGUGAUUGGUACACCAGAUAGAGAAGUUGUUCAGAAUGGUGAGAGUUCCCCUUUCAAAGAACAAGGUAACAAAACAGACUCGUUGUGGCAACUCAAAUUUGGAAACCCAUCAUUUCAAUCUAUAAACCUACACCCAUCAGAUGAAAUUCUUCUUAAGCCUCCAAACAUAUCAUGAUGUUUUACUUUCCUUUAUUUCAUUUUGCUUUAUUUUGUUUUAUUUUUAGUUUGUUUGCAGGUACAUUUUCUUUUAGUUUCAAUUUUUUGUCCUUCACUUCUCUCCCCAAGUACUCUUCUACUUCUCUCAGCAUCAUUCUUUUGCUUUUCUUUUCAAUCAUGAAGGACAAUGCUACAUUUUAGUUGGAGGGAGAGAAUGUGUAUGUUGCAAUUGUGUGUUGCCAAGCUUUAAUGUGAUGUUUGCAUGCCUUAGACA